GUAGUACGUACGUACGUCGUCGACGACGACGACGACGCUGGCGGCGUGCCUAACACAUGCAAGUCGAGCGAGUGGAGUUUCUUCGGAACAAAGCUAGCGGCGGACGGGUGAGUAACACGUGGGCAACCUGCCUCAUAGAGGGGAAUAGCCUUCCGAAAGGGAGAUUAAUACCGCAUAAGAUUGUAGCUUCGCAUGAAGUAGCAAUUAAAGGAGCAAUCCGCUAUGAGAUGGGCCCGCGGCGCAUUAGCUAGUUGGUGAGGUAACGGCUCACCAAGGCGACGAUGCGUAGCCGACCUGAGAGGGUGAUCGGCCACAUUGGGACUGAGACACGGCCCAGACUCCUACGGGAGGCAGCAGUGGGGAAUAUUGCACAAUGGGGGAAACCCUGAUGCAGCAACGCCGCGUGAGUGAUGACGGCCUUCGGGUUGUAAAGCUCUGUCUUCAGGGACGAUGAUGACGGUACCUGAGGAGGAAGACACGGCUAACUACGUG
rnacentral:rRNA from 1 species